rnacentral:rRNA from 1 species
CAAUAGCGUAUAUUAAAGUUGUUGCAGUUAAAAAGCUCGUAGUUGGAUUUCUGGUGGGAGCGAUCGGUCUGGCGCUUAGCGCGAGUACUUGCAUCGUCUCCGGCCAUCCUUGGGGAGAGGCUGUCUGGCAUUAGGUUGUCGGGCAGAGGAUCCUCAUCGUUUACUGUGAAAAAAUUAGAGUGUUCAAAGCAGGCUUAUGCCGUUGAAUAUAUUAGCAUGGAAUAAUAAGAUAGGACUUUGGUACUAUUUUGUUGGUUUGCGCACCAAAGUAAUGAUUAAUAGGGACAGUUGGGGGUAUUCGUAUUCCGUUGUCAGAGGUGAAAUUCUUGGAUUUACGGAAGACGAACUACUGCGAAAGCAUUUACCAAGGAUGUUUUCAUUAA